GACGAACGCUGGCGGCGUGCUUAACACAUGCAAGUCGAACGGAAAGGCCCUGCUUUUGUGGGGUGCUCGAGUGGCGAACGGGUGAGUAACACGUGAGUAACCUGCCCUUGACUUUGGGAUAACUUCAGGAAACUGGGGCUAAUACCGGAUAGGAGCUCCUGCUGCAUGGUGGGGGUUGGAAAGUUUCGGCGGUUGGGGAUGGACUCGCGGCUUAUCAGCUUGUUGGUGGGGUAGUGGCUUACCAAGGCUUUGACGGGUAGCCGGCCUGAGAGGGUGACUGGCCACAUUGGGACUGAGAUACGGCCCAGACUCCUACGGGAGGCAGCAGUGGGGAAUAUUGCACAAUGGGCGGAAGCCUGAUGCAGCAACGCCGCGUGCGGGAUGACGGCCUUCGGGCUGUAAACCGCUUUCGCCUGUGACGAAGCGUGAGUGACGGUAAUGGGUAAAGAAGCACCGGCUAACUACGUG
rnacentral:rRNA from 1 species